rnacentral:rRNA from 1 species
AUUGAACGCUGGCGGCAUGCUUUACACAUGCAAGUCGGACGGCAGCACAGAGAAGCUUGCUUCUUGGGUGGCGAGUGGCGAACGAGUGAGUAAUAUAUCGGAACGUACCGAGUAAUGGGGGAUAACUAAUCGAAAGAUUAGCUAAUACCGCAUAUUCUCUGAGGAGGAAAGCAGGGGACCUUCGGGCCUUGCGUUAUUCGAGCGGCCGAUAUCUGAUUAGCUAGUUGGUGGGGUAAAGGCCUACCAAGGCGACGAUCAGUAGCGGGUCUGAGAGGAUGAUCCGCCACACUGGGACUGAGACACGGCCCAGACUCCUACGGGAGGCAGCAGUGGGGAAUUUUGGACAAUGGGCGCAAGCCUGAUCCAGCCAUGCCGCGUGUCUGAAGAAGGCCUUCGGGUUGUAAAGGACUUUUGUCAGGGAAGAAAAGGCUGUUGCUAAUAUCGACAGCUGAUGACGGUACCUGAAGAAUAAGCACCGGCUAACUACGUG